AUUGAACGCUGGCGGCAGGCCUAACACAUGCAAGUCGAACGAGUGGCGGACGGGUGAGUAAUGUCUGGGAAACUGCCCGAUGGAGGGGGAUAACUACUGGAAACGGUAGCUAAUACCGCAUACCAUCGGAUGUGCCCAGAUGGGAUUAGCUAGUAGGUGGGGUAACGGCUCACCUAGGCGACGAUCCCUAGCUGGUCUGAGAGGAUGACCAGCCAAACGGGAACUGGGACACGGUCCAGACUCCUCCGUGAGGCAGCAGUGGGGAAUAUUGCCGAAUGGGCGCAAGCUGGAUGAAGCCAUGCCGCGGGUAUGAAGAAGGCCUUCGGGUUGUAAAGUACUUGCAGCGAGGAGGCGUUACGCGCAGAAGAAGCACCGUCUAACUCCGUGCCAGAAGCCGCGGUAAUAC
rnacentral:rRNA from 1 species